rnacentral:rRNA from 1 species
CAGCAGCCACGGUAAUACGUAGGUGGCAAGCGUUGUCCGGAAUUAUUGGGCGUAAAGCGCGCGCAGGUGGUUUAAUAAGUCUGAUGUGAAAGCCCACGGCUCAACCGUGGAGGGUCAUUGGAAACUGUUAAACUUGAGUGCAGGAGAGAAAAGUGGAAUUCCUAGUGUAGCGGUGAAAUGCGUAGAGAUUAGGAGGAACACCAGUGGCGAAGGCGGCUUUUUGGCCUGUAACUGACACUGAGGCGCGAAAGCGUGGGGAGCAAACAGGAUUAGAUACCCCCGUAGUCCCUGUCUCUUAUAC